UCAAAAGUGGCUCGGGAGUCCCGCCUGGCGUGCGUCCGACUCGAACAUCGUCGGUGUACAUAUGAGAGGGAGUAAUCCGGCCCGGCCGGGGCCCAUCGCGAGCUGCCGGGUAGGUAAAAGUAAAAAAGUUGUUAAGAGGCGCGGUGUCGGCGUGCUUGUAUUUGCGGGAGAGAAUUAUCUGGGGGUGCUGGGUAGCCGGGAAGACUUGGACGGAUCUGGCCCGGGAAUGGGUCUGGGCCUGGAUUCUGGUGUGGUGUAGGGUAGGCGUAGAUAGAUGAGUGGUCUAGGGUAGAUACAGGGUAGCCAGAAGUCUGGUAUGUAGUAUGGGGGUGUAGGGUAGGUCUGGACACCGUUUUCCACUUCGCCCUUCCCUUUCGUCGAGGGAGGACGAUCUUGGCUGGGACGGAGGUGUAGGGUAGGCUUAAUUUACGAUUACAUGAUCUGUGUCACUCUAGGGUAGGUGAAAAUCCCAUAUAUAUCUGAUCACAUUUGGUGAAGAGGUGGUUUGGCUGCUGAGAUGGACAAAAGUGCAAUGUAGAAUUAUAUGUGAUUUUGCAAAAGUGGGUGUGAAAUUGGAAAGUCGGUUUUCCCGCACAGAUGAGAGCACGUUCGAGGUGCCAUGAGAUGCACCUCUCCGAGACGACCUCAACGGUGCCACCCAUGUGUUGGUCGGGCUCCUGUGCGGGCGUCCAGGGCGGGAUAAGUAGAGAAUGUGGUGGUGUAGGGUAGGUGACCAGGUUCAGGGUAGGUUCGCCAAAUCCGUCAAUCCGGCUUGAAUCGAAGGACAGGUCUAGGGUAGGCCAGAGUCGGGUCUAGGGUAGGCAACCCUCACCCUCGAAGUGGUCUACCCGGUAGCCAACUUCAAUCGCCUCUCACGGCCGCCACAGACCUCGCAUGACGACGGGACUACCACCAUCGGAUUCGCCUUGGUCGAAAUAGCUGGUAUAUGCACUUUUGAAAAAAUGCGUGCAAAAUGGUUUUGUGGUUUGGUGGCCGUGAGUCGAUUUUUUUGUUUUCCCAUACAAAUGAAUUUUGCGGAAAAUAAAAAGUGGCCCACGAGGCAGUCCUGGCGUGCGGCCCACUAAAACGGUCUCGGAGGGUAUAUGAGAAGGGAGCAAAUCCGGCCGAGCCUGAAAGGGUGAGGACAAACCGGGCGAGCAACCUCUCAGUAUCAGAUCUUGCAGACU
rnacentral:misc_RNA from 1 species